UCUAACUAUUACACUUAUGCAAUGUAUCUUGAUCACUUUCAAUCAAAUACAAAGCUCAUACAAUUUCUUUACAUUCAUUCAUCCCGAUUUUACAAUUUCAUCUCUCAAAUGAACUUAAUACAUUUUCACCUCUCACAUGAUUUUAUUACAUUUAUAUUUUACAUUUUACCUUCAUCGACAUAAUAGAUGAAAUAUACAAGGGUGCCUCUAUAUACAUAA
rnacentral:lncRNA from 1 species